AGUGUGACAAAGACAAGAGCACCUACCGGCUCUCUGCAGUCGUCUCACACCUCGGGUACAGCAUGAACAGAGGCCACUACAUAUGCGAUGCUGCUAAGGGAGAAGGCAAAAAGUGGCUGACCUUCUCUGACUUGAAGGUGAAGGAGGCACAUGAGGACGAUGUCCUGAAGGAGAGAGAGGACACAGCUUACAUGCUGUACUACGUCCUCAGUGAGGCAGAGGAGAGGGACCAAGAGGCCCUGCAGCAGCACCAGGG